rnacentral:lncRNA from 1 species
UCAGAUAUCAUUAAGCAAAAUCAAUACCCUUUAUAGUUUAGCGUUCAUGUUCUCCCUAACAAAAGAAAUCUACUCCGUAAUUAAAUCGAGAAAACAAAAACAGAAAUUAAAAGGAAACAUAAUAAAAUAAAAUAAAACUUAGGAUUGUGUCUUCGUCUUGAGCUUGAUCUCCUCUCCAAUGGAGUUUUGAGUCUUCCAGUAAGAAGAAAAAGAAGAAGAAGAAGAAGAAAAACCCCAACUUAGAACAAUAUCUCAAUUAAAAGAGUGCUGCUAGAAUACUAAUAAUAUGUCCUAUAUACACAGGGUAAAUAACAAAAUUUUGUAAAUACAAAUCCUAGGUGAAAUAGGAAAGAGAAUAAAGCAUCCUAAGCCAUUUAGGAAACCUAAAAAUUAUGCAUUUCCUACAUGACCAUGCGCCUACCCAUGCAGAUUGUUGCCUUCAAAAUUCUAUGUAGAGAGAGACUCCAAUACUAAUGUGCAUCACCACUGCAUAAGUAUACAUCUGUCAGUGCAGGUUUCUGCCUUUUUCGUGCCUUCAUCUAAAACUUUUUAAAUUCUCCCAAAAUCAACUAAAAUUUAUAAAAUAAACCAAAGUGACUAAACAAACUAAAAUUAAACAAAAAACUAACGAGAAUU